rnacentral:misc_RNA from 1 species
AACAUCGCGCACCUGCGGGAACCUGCGGAGGGAUCAUUACUGAGUCACGCGCUCAAUCAACCCUUCUGUGGACCUGAAAUAAAACCGUUGCCUCGGCGGGCGGUCCCCCCCAAACCAACCCCACGUGGUGGGUUAGGGGAGACCAGACAGUCCGGUACGCUUAAGGCGUCCGGCGCCAGCCGCUGGCCCCAAACAAUUAAACUCUAGUAAUCUUUACCUUCUGAGUUUCAAUAUUUAAAA